rnacentral:lncRNA from 1 species
AUGGGAAGAUGCAGCGCAUCCUCAGCUAAGUCACUCACUAACGGGGAGAGGUUUUCGUCUGCCAACAGCACAGAGAGGGCACAGGAAGACCUCUCAACCCCCCAUCUCCCUCUCCCAAAGAAGGGAGAUCUUGCAAAUCCUCUACCUUUUGUGCAGGAGGGAGAGCCUUCCAAUGCCCCCUCUCCUCCAAAGAAGGAGAGCCCAAGCAACCCUCUGAUCCUAGGUGAGAGGGGGAGCCCAGCCUCCCCUUGUCCCUGCUGGAAGGGGCAGAGUCAGAGGCCUGCAGCUGGAGCGUUGCCGCCUUCAGACAGCAAGAGUGCUGUGGGCUCUCCCUGCACUGGGAACCGUGACGACCUAGCUCAGCCACCAGAGGAGGGAAGCAUAUUUGAGGACAAUAUUAAUGCCUCUUCAGAGGAACUGAGGCCUGAUGGUGCCCAGGUGCCUCCUGAAGAUUCAGUGCUUAAUCAGCUCCUGUUGUGCAGAUGUGGCCGUGUCUCUCCCCACAAACUCUUCCUCAGUGGAGAUGUUUCCCAGGCAGUUACCAGGAAAAGCAAAAGCAGCUCUGCCGUUGCAAGGGAACCUGGCAAGCCUGAAUCCUCAUGUGUGGUCUCCUGUGAAGAAGCACCAGGUGACAUAAAUGAAACAUAUUGGCAAUGUUACCGAGCUAUGCUCCCAGUUCAUUCAUCUUUAGAAAGUGUCCGCAAGCAUGAGGACAAGAAGAGGCAGCUUGCAACCACACAGUCUUACUUUGAGAAGGGCGCUCCAGCUAACAACACAAAAGGUGAGCUGCUGCAGGAAGGCAUGCAAGUGGGAACGGAUGGAAGAAAAAAUGUCAGGACCAACAGGGACACUGAUGCAGUGCAGCUGAGUUAUGUUCCUGGCGUGUACGUGUGCCCCUUUCCCGUAGAUGGUGAGGUGACUCGGUCAGAGAAUGCCAUCAAUCACCCCCUUCUCUCCUCCUCCUGUCUGACUGCUGCCAGACAAACUCCUGGCUCAGAAAGUGACUGUUACAACUGUUUCAAGCCAAAACUGGAAACACCAGAGAGUUACAGGAGUGCAGACAGAGGAUCUAUGGUCAACCCUUGCCUGAGAAAUAGAAGCUGGUGCAAGUGCUCCCAAGAAAUCCUGCUCCACCGUCUGGAAGAAGGUGCUAAUUGUAAGGGGAGGAGAGGAACUCUUUCAAAAAGAAAUAUCCCAGACAUCCUCCAGGAUAUUUCACAAAACCACCACUGCUAGAAAAAGAAACAGAUGC